AGGAUUCUCCUAUGUAACGGCGAGUGAACGGAGAUUAGCCCAGCACCGAAGCCUAUCCGCGUUUGUGGAAAGGGCAAUGUGGUGUUCAGGCUUGAACCUGGGGAUGCUCGUCUAUUCGAAGUCCAACUCCGAUUAUGGCUUUGGAUUUGUCCCAUAGAGGGUGAAAGGCCCGUUCGAAUAGACAUACUGGUUUUUGAGUGUCCCUCAGAUGUUCAGGCUUUCGAGUCGGAUUGCUUGAGAAUGCAGUCCAAAGUGGGUGGUAAACUCCAUCCAAGGCUAAAUACUGGCACGAGUCCGAUAGUAGACAAGUACCGUGAGGGAAAGUUGAAAAGUACUCUGAAGAGAGAGUAAAUAGUACGUGAAACCGAUUGUAUGGAAGCUGGUGGAGUCAAGCUUCUAGCUCAGGUGAUUGACGUGGGGACAUGUCUUGGUUAAAGGAGGAAGGAGAGGUUAGCUUGGAAAGAGCUGGUUGGUUCGCCAAUUCAAGCAGUCCGGGUAGUGUUGCUUUGUGCCUCUUCUAAACUCUGGUCUCCGCGUUAUUUGCCUGUGGCUAACACCACAGUCAAUGCGUAUGUGGUGUCUCAUAGUCAUACUGCGUUACAGGGAGUUUCGGCUUUCUGGGCGUGGGACGGCAGGUGGUAGUUAGUGUGGCUUGCUGCACUGGCUGCUUAUUACUGGUAUCUUUGAUACCUGCCGAUUGUGAGACAAAUAAGACCAUCAUGUGCAUUGUUUUUAUACCGA
rnacentral:rRNA from 1 species